rnacentral:rRNA from 1 species
GGCGAGUGAAGCGGUAAAAGCUCAAAUUUGAAAUCUGGUACUUUCAGUGCCCGAGUUGUAAUUUGUAGAAUUUGUCUUUGAUUAGGUCCUUGUCUAUGUUCCUUGGAACAGGACGUCAUAGAGGGUGAGAAUCCCGUUUGGCGAGGAUACCUUUUCUCUGUAAGACUUUUUCGAAGAGUCGAGUUGUUUGGGAAUGCAGCUCAAAGUGGGUGGUAAAUUCCAUCUAAAGCUAAAUAUUGGCGAGAGACCGAUAGCGAACAAGUACAGUGAUGGAAAGAUGAAAAGAACUUUGAAAAGAGAGUGAAAAAGUACGUGAAAUUGUUGAAAGGGAAGGGCAUUUGAUCAGACAUGGUGUUUUUUGCAUGCACUCGCCUCUCGUGGGCUUGGGCCUCUCAAAAAUUUCACUGGGCCAACAUCAAUUCUGGCAGUAGGAUAAAUCAUUAAGAAUGUAGCUACCUCGGUAGUGUUAUAGCUUAUUGGAAUACUGCUAGCUGGGAUUGAGGACUGCGCUUCGGCAAGGAUGUUGGCAUAAUGGUUAAAUGCCGCCCGUCUUGA